rnacentral:rRNA from 2 species
GUGCGAGACCGAUAGCGAACAAGUACCGUGAGGAAAAGAUGAAAAGAACUUUGAAAAGAGAGUUAAAGAGUACCUGAAACUGCUGAAAGGGAAGCGAAUCGUAUCCAGUGUCUAUAAUCUGCGGCAUAUUUCAUUGGCGGCAGUGUGCGUGCUCUUGCGUCGGAAGCGGCUUUUGUUGCUCUGUGCUUUUGCUGUGCGUGCUGUUGCUGGUGCCCUGUGUUGCGGUGGGACGUCAGAGUCAGUUCGUAUGCUGCGGGAAAUGGCCGCCGAGGAGGUAGGUCAGGACUUCGGUCUUGGCUGUUAUAUCUUGGUGGUUUGUUGUCGUGGUUGGGACUGAGGUGCCUACAAUGUGCUUUUGAGUGUGCCGGGUUCUCAUUUGGUGGACUGUUUGGAUAGCUUGCUAUGCUUGUGGUUUUUUCAUCGAGUGAUUGAGUCUGGUGGUAACUUGUUGCUGUUCGGGACUUUG